rnacentral:rRNA from 1 species
GAUGAACGCUGGCGGCGUGCCUAAUACAUGCAAGUCGAGCGAACAGAUAAGGAGCUUGCUCCUUUGACGUUAGCGGCGGACGGGUGAGUAACACGUGGGUAACCUACCUAUAAGACUGGGAUAACUUCGGGAAACCGGAGCUAAUACCGGAUAAUAUUUCGAACCGCAUGGUUCGAUAGUGAAAGAUGGUUUUGCUAUCACUUAUAGAUGGACCCGCGCCUUAUUAGCUAGUUGGUAAGGUAACGGCUUACCAAGGCGACGAUACGUAGCCGACCUGAGAGGGUGAUCGGCCACACUGGAACUGAGACACGGUCCAGACUCCUACGGGAGGCAGCAGUAGGGAAUCUUCCGCAAUGGGCGAAAGCCUGACGGAGCAACGCCGCGUGAGUGAUGAAGGUCUUCGGAUCGUAAAACUCUGUUAUUAGGGAAGAACAUACGUGUAAGUAACUGUGCACGUCUUGACGGUACCUAAUCAGAAAGCCACGGCUAACUACGUG